ACUGGCCAUUCACCCGAGUCGCCCGCUUGUGCUAUCAGCAUCCAACGACAGCUUAAUCAAGCUAUGGAACUGGAAGACUGACUGGUCAAAUCAAGUUUAACCCGCUGGAAGGAAACACUUCCGCAAGUGCUUCAAAAGAUGGCACAACAAAGAUCUGGUGUUGUUCUUCUCCCGUUCCUAUUGCUACAUUGGACUGUGAUGGUGGGCUGAUAUGUGUUGAUUAUUUUUCCCAUGGUGGUGAUCGACAAUAUGUGGUUACCGGAUCCGACAAUGGGGUUGCACAGAUUUGGGAUUUGCGGACAAAGAAAUGUAUCCAAGAACUCGAGGGACUCCGACAUAUGUCUGGGGUCAAUGUUGGUGUGAUCGAUGGCAUGCAAGGGCAUCCUGUUCUAAUAACAUCUUCAGAUGAAUAUGCUAUUUCUUUGCGCAACUACAACACCUAUGGGUAUGAGAGAACGAUGGACUUUAAGCUCGAUAGGGUUCGUGGUGGUUUUGCUUUCAUUAAGGCCAUAAAAAGCCUGGUGAUUGGAUUUGACGAUGGAUUUGCAAUAGUGGAAAUGAAUUAAUUUGGCACUAAAGAUUGUGCUACUGUUGAAAGAAAAUAGCGGCUGAAUAAAAGUGGUGCCA